rnacentral:rRNA from 5 species
GCUGAACUUAAGCAUAUCAAUA